UCACAGCAAUUGCUGAAGUGGUUUUGUUGAUGUUGUCUUGUUGUUUAUCUCAACAGCAGGUGGUGGUGAGGAUGCACCACGUGAGUAGGGUGAGAGGCCUGGAGACUCAACUGGUCUGGACCAUCUCCAAGGAGACAGCCAGGCUUAGUCCAGAGGGCAUCUCCUACUGUGCCACCAAAGUGCAGUCCAUCACUUGGAUCCAGCGUGUGGCUGGCAGGGUGACCCACUAUGCGUCUCACCUCCGCCACGAGACGUCUGUGGACGUGACGCUUGGCUGCUACCAGGUAAAUAAACGAUUUCCUAUGUAUAUAGACUAGACAUUACUGGGCAUUUUUGCAUUAGAUUUGGUGUGUUUUCUAAUAACGUGUGUGUGGUAAACGUGUGUUUUGAGCAGCAGACGGAUGUCUCAGUGGUGUACGCCACUCUCCACAUGGGGCUGGACGGGCUUCUCUCCUCUUCAGCGUGGUCGGAGGCUGCCUCCUUCUCUACGCCCACCACUCAGCAGUUCACUGACCCAGAGCCUGAGGGCCACAACUGCUAUGAGGGCUGGGAGGAUGACCUGCUGCCUGAGGAGAGGGAGGUUCCUCUGCUAAAGUGAGUUCCUCUAAAUGUCUGGGCUUGUCAGAUGCUGAAGGAUAGUGGUCAUAAUGCUGUUAUCCCCCAUUGACUCUAAUGGUUGACAUGCUCCAUUCCCUCCCUUUCACAGCCUCUACCUUACCACCAAGAGAGUGGAGGACAUUACCCUGAGGUUCGCCUCCCUGCGCCAGGCCUUCACUACCCUGCUUGGUUCCACCCUGAGCAGGAACCAUCUGUUUGUGGCGGGAAAGGUCCUCCUGGGCGCACUGGUUCAGGCCAACCGCAUGGACGAGGCCAAGUUCAUCCGUACCUACAACGACUUUGUGGACUACCUGACUACCCCUCCAAGCGGAAUGACAUUGAGAGGGAGCUGGCUGAGGCAAAGAUCCAUCAUGUGAACAUGAUAGAUUUCCUCUUUGAGCUGGUGCUGUUUGGGUUGAUGACAGCUCAGAAGUCCCUGAUGGUGGUAAGUAGC